rnacentral:rRNA from 2 species
CCAUGCAGUCGAGCGGAUGAAGGGAGCUUGCUCCUGGAUUCAGCGGCGGACGGGUGAGUAAUGCCUGGGAAUCUGCCUGGUAGUGGGGGAUAACGUCCGGAAACGGGCGCUAAUACCGCAUACGUCCUGAGGGAGAAAGUGGGGGAUCUUCGGACCUCACGCUAUCAGAUGAGCCUAGGUCGGAUUAGCUAGUUGGUGGGGUAAAGGCCUACCAAGGCGACGAUCCGUAACUGGUCUGAGAGGAUGAUCAGUCACACUGGAACUGAGACACGGUCCAGACUCCUACGGGAGGCAGCAGUGGGGAAUAUUGGACAAUGGGCGAAAGCCUGAUCCAGCCAUGCCGCGUGUGUGAAGAAGGUCUUCGGAUUGUAAAGCACUUUAAGUUGGGAGGAAGGGCAGUAAGUUAAUACCUUGCUGUUUUGACGUUACCAACAGAAUAAGCACCGGCUAACUUCGUGCCAGCAGCCGCGGUAAUACGAAGGGUGCAAGCGUUAAUCGGAAUUACUGGGCGUAAAGCGCGCGUAGGUGGUUCAGCAAGUUGGAUGUGAAAUCCCCGGGCUCAACCUGGGAACUGCAUCCAAAACUACUGAGCUAGAGUACGGUAGAGGGUGGUGGAAUUUCCUGUGUAGCGGUGAAAUGCGUAGAUAUAGGAAGGAACACCAGUGGCGAAGGCGACCACCUGGACUGAUACUGACACUGAGGUGCGAAAGCGUGGGGAGCAAACAGGAUUAGAUACCCUGGUAGUCCACGCCGUAAACGAUGUCGACUAGCCGUUGGGAUCCUUGAGAUCUUAGUGGCGCAGCUAACGCGAUAAGUCGACCGCCUGGGGAGUACGGCCGCCAGGUUAAAACUCAUAUGAAUUGACGGGGGCCCGCACAAGCGGUGGAGCAUGUGUUUAAUUCGAAGCAACGCGAAGAACCUUACCUGGCCUUGACAUGCUGAGAACUUUCCAGAGAUGGAUUGGUGCCUUCGGGAACUCAGACCCAGGUGCUGCAUGGCUGUCGUCAGCUCGUGUCGUGAGAAGUUGGGUUAAGUCCCGUAACGAGGGCAACCCUUGUCCUUAGUUACCAGCACCCCGG